rnacentral:rRNA from 1 species
CCGCCGGCGACCGGCGCACGGGUGAGUAACACGUAUGCAACCUGGCCGUGACAGAUGGAUAACCGGGAGAAAUCCCGCCUAAUACAACAUAAUGCCGGGAGGGGACAUCCCCUGCCGGCCAAAGGGGGCGACCCCCGGUCACGGAUGGGCAUGCGGCGCAUUAGGUAGUUGGUGGGGCAACGGCCCACCAAGCCGACGAUGUCUAGGGGUCCUGAGAGGAAGGUCCCCCACACUGGUACUGAGACACGGACCAGACUCCUACGGGAGGCAGCAG